rnacentral:rRNA from 1 species
UUUUCUUAAAUUAAAGGUAACUUUUAGCUCUAGUAAUUUCAAUUAUCGCGUCUGAUAUAUAACCGUACAGAUUCAAUCUAUGCAAUAAUAUUUGACAUGGGUCUUAUUAGGGUGAAUAGAUGUGCCAGCUACCGCGGUUAUACGUCACUGUUAAAUUACAUACUUGUUCUUUCUUGUAAAUAGUACGUACACAAUUACUUAAAUUUUCGGUGAAAUUAUUUUUUCUUUUAUUUAAAUACAAGAAAUCAAAUUUAAAACUAAAACUGGGAUUAGAUACCCCAUUAUUUUAAAAUUAAAGAACAAAGUAGUACUAUGAUAAUCAAACUUAAUUAAGACGGCGGUAAAAUAUUUAUUAGAGGAGGUUGUCCUAUGAUCGAUAACCCUCGUUAUAAAUCUUCUAUCUAGAUUAUGUAUAUCGCCGUUGAAAUUCGAUUUAAAAUUGAAUUUAUAUAUUUAGUUAGUUAGAGUCAACAGGUCAAGAUACAAAUAAUGAUGAAGAUAGAGAUGACCUACAAUUUAAAUAAAUUAAUCCAACAGGAUUUAAUUGUAAUUUUUUCUACAUAACAUAACAAUAUGAUUACUUAAUUAUUUUAUGCACAUAUCGCCCGUCACCCUCUCACAAGAGGUAAGUCGUAACAAAGUAGAUUUUUCGGAAGAAGAGUCUAGCCU